GCUUACGGCCAUACCACCCUGAACAUGCCCGAUCUCGUCUGAUCUCGGAAGCCAAGCAGGGUCGGGCCUGGUCAGUACUUGGAUGGGAGACCGCGUGGGAAUACCAGGUGCUGUAAGCU
rnacentral:rRNA from 1 species